rnacentral:rRNA from 1 species
UUCCAGACUCCUACGGGAGGCAGCAGUAGGGAAUAUUGCUCAAUGGGGGAAACCCUGAAGCAGCAACGCCGCGUGGAGGAUGAAGGUUUUCGGAUUGUAAACUCCUUUUGUUAGAGAAGAUAAUGACGGUAUCUAACGAAUAAGCACCGGCUAACUCCGUGCCAGCAGCCGCGGUAAUACGGAGGAUGCGAGCGUUAUCCGAAUUUAUUGGUUUUAAAGGGUGCGCAGGCGGCCUGUUAAGUCAGCGAUAAAACCCCGGGCCUCAACCCCGGCGUGCCGUUGAAACUGGCGGGCUGGAGUUGGAGAGAAGUGCGCGGAAUGCGCGGUGUAGCUGUGAAAUGCUUAGAUAUCGCGCAGAACCCCGAUUGCGAAGGCAGCGUACCGGCUCCAC